UGGGGAAUUUUGGACAAUGGGCGAAAGCCUGAUCCAGCAAUGCCGCGUGUGUGAAGAAGGCCUUCGGGUUGUAAAGCACUUUUGUCCGGAAAGAAAUCCUUGGCUCUAAUACAGUCGGGGGAUGACGGUACCGGAAGAAUAAGCACCGGCUAACUACGUGCCAGCAGCCGCGGUAAUACGUAGGGUGCAAGCGUUAAUCGGAAUUACUGGGCGUAAAGCGUGCGCAGGCGGUUUGCUAAGACCGAUGUGAAAUCCCCGGGCUCAACCUGGGAACUGCAUUGGUAACUGGCAGGCUAGAGUAUGGCAGAGGGGGGUAGAAUUCCACGUGUAGCAGUGAAAUGCGUAGAGAUGUGGAGGAAUACCGAUGGCGAAGGCAGCCCCCUGGGCCAAUACCGACGCUCAUGCACGAAAGCGUGGGGAGCAAACAGGAUUAGAUACCCUGGUAGUCCACGCCCUAAACGAUGUCAACUAGUUGUUGGGGAUUCAUUUCCUUAGUAACGUAGCUAACGCGUGAAGUUGACCGCCUGGGGAGUACGGUCGCAAGAUUAAAACUCAAAGGAAUUGACGGGGUCAUAGCUGUUUCCU
rnacentral:rRNA from 1 species